rnacentral:rRNA from 1 species
GAUGAACGCUGGCGGCGUGCCUAAUACAUGCAAGUCGAGCGAACAGACGAGGAGCUUGCUCCUCUGACGUUAGCGGCGGACGGGUGAGUAACACGUGGAUAACCUACCUAUAAGACUGGGAUAACUUCGGGAAACCGGAGCUAAUACCGGAUAAUAUAUUGAACCGCAUGGUUCAAUAGUGAAAGACGGUUUUGCUGUCACUUAUAGAUGGAUCCGCGCCGCAUUAGCUAGUUGGUAAGGUAACGGCUUACCAAGGCGACGAUGCGUAGCCGACCUGAGAGGGUGAUCGGCCACCCUGGAGCGGAGACACGGUCCAGACUCCUACGGGAGGCAGCAGUAGGGAAUCUUCCGCAAUGGGCGAAAGCCUGACGGAGCAACGCCGCGUGAGUGAUGAAGGUCUUCGGAUCGUAAAACUCUGUUAUUAGGGAAGAACAAAUGUGUAAGUAACUAUGCACGUCUUGACGGUACCUAAUCAGAAAGCCACGGCUAACUACGUG